AGCAGCCGCGGUAAUUCCAGCUCCAAUAGCGUAUAUUAAAGUUGUUGCAGUUAAAAAGCUCGUAGUUGAAUUUCGGGGUUAGUAGAUUGGUCAUGCCUUUGGUAUGUACUGGUCUUACUGAUUCCUCCUUCCUGAUGAACCGUAAUGCCAUUAAUUUGGUGUUGCGGGGAGACUGGACUGUUACUUUGAAAAAUUAGAGUGUUUAAAGCAGGCCGAUGCCUGAAUACAUUAGCAUGGAAUAAUGAAAUAGGAUGUUGAUCCUAUUUUGUUGGUUUCUAGGAUUGACGUAAUGAUUAAUAGGGAUAGUUGGGGGCAUUAGUAUUCAAUUGUCAGAGGUGAAAUUCUUGGAUUUAUUGAAGACUAACUACUGCGAAAGCAUUUGCCAAGGAUGUUUUCAUUAAUCAAGAACGAAAGUUAGGGGAUCGAAGACGAUCAGAUACCGUCGUAGUCUUAACCAUAAACUAUGCCGACU
rnacentral:rRNA from 1 species